CCUACGGGAGGCAGCAGUGGGGAAUAUUCCGCAAUGGACGAAAGUCUGACGGAGCAACGCCGCGUGAGUGAUGAAGGUUUUCGGACUGUAAAACUCUGUUGUUUAGGACGAAAGUGCCUGUUGCAAAUAGUUGCAGGUAUUGACGGUACUGAACGAGGAAGCCACGGCUAACUACGUGCCAGCAGCCGCGGUAAUACGUAGGUGGCAAGCGUUGUCCGGAAUUAUUGGGCGUAAAGAGCAUGUAGGUGGAUACUUAAGUCUGUUGUGAAAAUGCGGGGCUCAACCCCGUAUUGCGAUGGAAACUGGGUGUCUUGAGUGCAGGAGAGGAAAGGGGAAUUCCCAGUGUAGCGGUGAAAUGCGUAGAUAUUGGGAGGAACACCAGUGGCGAAGGCGCCUUUCUGGACUGUGUCUGACACUGAGAUGCGAAAGCUAGGGGAGCGAACGGGAUUAGAUACCCCAGUAGUC
rnacentral:rRNA from 1 species